rnacentral:rRNA from 1 species
GACGAACGCUGGCGGCGUGCUUAACACAUGCAAGUCGAACGGAGUGGCGAACGGGUGAGUAACACAUGGGUGAGCUGCACUGCACUUCGGGAUAAGCCUGGGAAACUGGGUCUAAUACCGGAUAGUGUGGGAUGGGACCGCGGCCUAUACGCUUGUUGGUGGGGUAAUGGCCUACCAAGGCGGCGACGGGUAGCCGGCCUGAGAAGGUGGACGGCCACAAUGGGACUGAGACACGGCCCAGAGUCCUACGGGAGUCAUCAGUGGGGAAUAUUGCACAAUGGGCGGAAGUCUGAUGCAGCGACGCCGCGUGGGGGAUGACGGCCUUCGGGUUGUAAACUCCGUGCACCAUCGACGCGGUAUUUAACCAGAAAGCCACGGCUAACUACGUGCCAGCCGCCGCGGUAAUUC